rnacentral:rRNA from 1 species
UACGGGGGGAGCAAGCGUUGUUCGGAUUUACUGGGCGUAAAGGGCGCGUAGGCGGUCAGCACAAGUCAGUUGUGAAAUCUCCGGGCUUAACCCAGAAAGGUCAACUGAUACUGCGGGGCUAGAGUGCAGAAGGGGCAACUGGAAUUCUCGGUGUAGCGGUGAAAUGCGUAGAUAUCGAGAGGAACACCUGCGGCGAAGGCGGGUUGCUGGGCUGACACUGACGCUGAAGUGCGAAAGCUAGGGGAGCGAACGGG